rnacentral:rRNA from 1 species
CUUCGGGUUCAGUGGCGGACGGGUGAGUAACACGUGGGUAACCUGCCUCGGAGUGGGGAAUAACUCGCCGAAAGGCGAGCUAAUACCGCAUACCACUCCCGGUGAGAAUCCGGGUAGUAAAAGUAGUAAUGCGCUCUGAGAGGGGCCCGCGGCCGAUUAGCUUGUUGGUGGGGUAACGGCCUACCAAGGCGACGAUCGGUAGCUGGUCUGAGAGGAUGGUCAGCCACACGGGGACUGAGAUACGGCCCCGACUCCUACGGGAGGCAGCAGCUAAGAAUCUUGCGCAAUGGGCGAAAGCCUGACGCAGCAACGCCGCGUGGAGGACGAAGGCCCUCGGGUUGUAAACUCCUUUUGCGAGGGAAGAAGAUCUGACGGUACCUCGCGAAUAAGCCACGGCUAACUACGUGCCAGCAGCCGCGGUAAUACGUAGGUGGCGAGCGUUGUCCGGAUUUACUGGGCGUAAAGAGCCCGCAGGCGGCCCGUUAAGUUUCAGGUGAAAUCUCCCGGCUCAACCGGGAGGGUGCCUGGAAAACUGGCAGGCUUGAGGCAGGGAGAGGGAUGUGGAAUUCCCGGUGUAGUAGUGAAAUGCGUAGAUAUCGGGAGGAACACCAGUGGCGAAGGCGGCAUCCUGGCCCUGUCCUGACGCUCAGGGGCGAAAGCGUGGGGAGCAAACCGGAUUAGAUACCCGGGUAGUCCACGCCGUAAACGAUGAGUACUAGGGGUGGGGGGUAUCGACCCCCUCCGUCCCGAAGCUAACGCGAUAAGUACUCCGCCUGGGGACUACGGCCGCAAGGC